UUGGAAUUGAAUAAAGCUUCC
rnacentral:snRNA from 1 species